AUGCAGGGAGUCUGGCUGUCCGUCGCUACAAGAGCAGCCCGUUCCGGCCUCCACCAAACCAACCAAGCAAUCGAGCCAAACAAGCUCACCUUCCAACUGUAUAGCUGCACGAGGGAUCUCGGCGUGGCGCUUGCCGUCCUGCCCCUGCUGUUCAUGCCCGGGGCGUCCGCGGUCGUCCCCAGCAUCGACGCCACGCGGACCCGCCACCUGCCGCUGCCACCUGGACUGCUGCGCGGCCCGGAGAGCGUCGCCUUUGACGCCAAAGGCAACGGCCCAUACAGCGGCAUCUCCGACGGCCGCGUCCUCAAGUGGAACGGCGACAGGCUCGGCUGGACGACGUACACUUACAGCCCUGGAUACAGCAGCGAGGCGUGCACGGCGUCCGUCCGUCCGUCUGGCUACUUGUACAUAGCCGACGCCUACAAGGGGCUCAGGAGGGUCGCGCCAGGAGGCGGGGAGGCGACGGUGCUUGUCACGGAGGCCGACGGCGCUCCUCUCCGCUUCACCAAUGGCGUGGACGUUGACCAGGUGACCGGUGAAGUCUACUUCACCGACAGCUCUAUGAAAUAUCAAAGUGACUCGACAGGCCGCCUAAUGAGAUAUGAUCCACGCACAGGAAAAGUGAUUGUGCUAAAGGCCGGCAUCACUUACCCCAAUGGUCUCGCCAUCAGCGCUGAUCGGACACACCUCGUCAUCUCAUCGACCGGGCCGUGCAAGUUGUUGAGGUACUGGACCAAAGGAGGUCCCAAGACAGGCACGAUGGAACUGUUAACUGAUCUACCGGGCUAUCCUGAUAAUUUGAGGCCGGACAAGAAAGGAGGAUACUGGGUGGCAUUACAUCGUGAGAAGAUAGAACUCCAUUUUAGUGUCGAUAGAUAUCUACUUGCCUUGAGGAUCGGCGCCGAUGGAAAAAUAAUCGAGGAAAUGAGGGGACCCAAGGCCAAGGGCAUGAGGCCAGCAGAGGUGGUGGAAUGGACACGCGGCAGACUAUUUGUGGGAUCCGUCGAGCUUUCUUAUGUUGCCAUGGCCACACGCAAAUAG
rnacentral:rRNA from 1 species